rnacentral:misc_RNA from 1 species
GUGGGACCUCGAUCGCAUCCCGUAACCAAAUUUAAUAUCGAACCCCUUCCUAGACAUGCUCCCAAACUCACCCCUCAUGUCCUGAAGUAUGCUACGGAAAGACAUCUUUCUUGCCACCUUAAAUUUCCAACUGUCAAGGACCAAGAAACACCACCACCCCACCCCCCCUCCAAAAAAACAAAAGGGAAAAAAAGAAAAAGAGAAUCUGGAAAUAGCAGAUCCCCUGAAAAUUCUUACCACUCCCACAUUUACAUAAAAAAAAAAAUCUGAACUUUAUUACAAGACAGGAACUGAUAAUCACUGAUCAAGAAUACCCAUAAGCUUGAAAAGCUAAAAAACUACACUUUGGAUGGAAGCAAAUACCAAUUCCCAGUGAUUCAUCUCCAAAAAAGUGAAGAUCAAUCUUAAAUCAUCUCCAAUGGCAAAAUCAUACAAAACCCAUAACCUAAAACCAGUUCAAUUCGUUUUCCUUCUCAUCAUUUCACUAUCUAUUAUUUCAUCAUCUUCAGGUAGGCUACUAUAUGACUCUCUCCCGCAGAACCGAGCAGCAGCAGAACCAGCCUUGAAUCUUGCACUUCCUAGCGACAAGGUUAAUCAUGCGUCGCCGCUGAAUCCAUCGGAUAAAGAUAAUAUGAAGCAUGUUUUACCAUGUGAAAUGGACUCCAACAACAACAAGAAGAAGAAGAACUCCGAUGUGAAAGUUGGAGCAAGAUUCGCCUGGAAGUAUGGACCGACGAUUCUGAAUAUGCUUCCAAAAGGACAAACUGGGAACUCUGGACCAAGCAAAGGAUCCAAUGACAUAGAAAACUAGAGACCGAAGCUCAGGCUUAUGGGGAUUUAAUGUUGUUUGCAUUAGUG